UAAUUAUGCCGUCUGGUGGAUAGUUCGGCUCAAGUGCUGAUGAAGGACGUGCCAAGCUGCGAUAAGCCUCGGCGAGGUGCAUGGAACCUUUGAACCGAGGAUCUCCGAAUGAGACUUCUUGAUGUGGUGAGAGCCACAUCGAUCCUUCGGGAUCGGGAACGCCCCGAAUUGAAACAUCUUAGUAGGGGUAGGAAAAGAAAUCAAUUGAGAUGCUGUUAAUUAACGGCGAGUGAAACCAGCAGAGUUCAAACCGAAUCUCCCUUCGAAAGAAUGGAGAAAUGUGGUGUUGUAGAGCAGAUCACAUAAAUCCAAACCAGCAAAGUCAAACUCAUCUGGAAUGUUGGGCUACAGAGCGUGACAGCCGCGUAGACGUAAACUGGUGGAUUUGAUCUGUUUCUCGAGUACCGUGGGUCGGAAAUCCCGCGGAAAUCUGGGAGACAUCAACUUCCAAAACUAAAUACAACUUGAGACCGAUAGCAGAGUAGUACCGUGAGGGAAGACUGAAAAGCAUCCAAAAGAUGGAGGUGCAAAGUGCUUGAAACCAGACGGUGAUAGUGGGGUAUGGCAUGAAAGGAACUUCGUCGCGAAGGAGGCAGUCGCGAGGCUGUAGUACGGGCGACGUUGCCGAUGUCAUAUCAUACGUUUUGAAGAACGGGCCAAGGAGUGUAUUUUAGUGGCGAGACUAACGCUUUAAAAGCGGGAGUCGAAGCGAAAGCGACACGCGCGUAACCUGUAAAGGCAUGGCGCGAGGUAUACAAGUGCCUGGAGUCACUAGGAUGCGACCCGAAGCCGGGCGAUCUAUGCGUGGGCAGGUUGAAGCGUGGCGAAAGCCGCGUGGAGGACCGAUAGCGGUACUGAUAUGCAAAUCGUUCGCGUGACCUGCGUAUAGGGGUGAAAGGCCAAUCGAGCCCGGCAUCAUCUGGUUCCUUCCGAAACAUGUCGCAGCAUGACCUGAUUUGAGAUCGUUAGCGGUGUAGAGCACUGAUUGGGGGUGUCGGGGGAGAAAUCCCUCGCCCCUCUGUCAAACUCCGAAGCCGCUUUCAUCGUAGAAAAUUGGAGUCCGGGCACGGGGUAAGCUCGUUGUCCGUGAGGGAGACAACCCUGACCGUGGUUAAGGUCCCCCAGUGUCGGCUAAGUGUUAAAAAUAAAGGGCGUCUCAGGCCAUAGACAACUGGAAGGUUAGCUUAGAAGCAGCUAUCCUCUAAGGAGUGCGUAACAGCUCACCAGUCGAGGUUUGGGGCCCCGAAAAUGGACGGGGCUCAAGCCGACCACCGAUACCACGGAGUAUCGAAAGAUAAUCUUGUAGGAAGGCGUCCUGUUUGGGUAGAAGCAGGGCUGUGAAGUCCUGUGGACCAUGCAGGAACGAAAAUCUUGGUAAUAGUAGCAGCAAAGUUAGGUGAGAAUCCUAACCGCCGAAGGGGCUAGGUUUCCUCGGCAAUGUUCGUCAGCCGAGGGUUAGUCGGUCCUAAGACGUAUCGCAAUUCGAGUACGCCAAAAGGGAAACAGGUUAAUAUUCCUGUACCAUUCGAACUAUAUCCGAAAGGACCUGACGCAUCCGGAUAGGUCGGGCAGCGCUGUCGCGCUGUUCAAGCACCGAAACGGGCGGAGAGCCGUAAUGGCGAGAACCCUGUGAAUGUGUGAUGAGUAAUUUCGACUGAGUCCAGGUGCCCGUGAAAAGGGUGUUCGAAUGUCCGUACCGAGAACCGACACAGGUGCCCCUAGCUGAGAAGGCUAAGGCGUGUCGGAUAAAACUAGCUAAGGGAAUUCGGCAAAUUAGCUCCGUAACUUCGGGAUAAGGAGUGCCUGCCUCGUGAGAGGCAGGUCGCAGUGACACGGGAGCUCCAACUGUCUAAUAACAACAUAGCGGAUCGCAAACCCGCAAGGGCUAGUACGAUCCGUGAAUCCUGCCCAGUGCAGGUACCUGAAAACCCGGUUCAACGGGACGAAGGGCCUGUCAACGGCGGGGGUAACUAUAACCCUCUUAAGGUAGCGUAGUACCUUGCCGCUUAAUUGGCGGCUUGCAUGAAUGGAUCAAUGAGAGUUCCACUGUCCCUAGCUAGAAUCCGGUGAAGCUUACAUUCCAGUGCAGAGUCUGGAGACUCCUAAUGGGAAGUGAAGACCCCGUGGAGCUUUACUGCAGCCUGUCGCUGGGUCUCGAUUCUGGAUGUGAAGGAUAGGUAGGAGGCAUCGAAGCGUUCUCGCCAGGGAACGUGGAGCCACCCUUGGGAUACUACCCUUUCAGAAUUGCGGCUCUUACCCUCCACCGGAGGGGACCCCGAUAGGUGGGCAGUUUGGGUGGGGCGCCACACCCUAGAAAAGAUAUCUAGGGUGCCCGAAGGUUGACUCAUCAGGGUCGGAAACCCUGAGAAGAGUGCAAGAGCAUAAGUCAGCUUGAUGUGAUUUCGCAUAACAAGGAAUCGCGAGACGAAAGUCAGGUCUAGCGAACCUACGUAGCUUCUUGAUGGUGCUCGUAGACUACAGAAAAGCUACCCCGGGGAUAACAGAGUCGUCACCGGCAAGAGUACAUAUCGACCCGGUGGCUUGCUACCUCGAUGUCGGUUCUUUCCAUCCUGGCUGUGCAGCAGCAGCCAAGGGUGAGGUUGUUCGCCUAUUAAAGGGGAUCGUGAGCUGGGUUUAGACCGUCGUGAGACAGGUCGGUUACUAUCUAUUAGGAGUGUUUUGAAGUCUGAGGGUAAGUUGCUUUUAGUACGAGAGGAACAGAGCAACGGUGCCUCUAGUCGAUCGGUUGUCUGACAAGGCAUUGCCGAGCAGCCACGCACCAAUGGAUAAGGGCUGAAAGCAUCUAAGCCCGAAACCAAACCUGAAAAGAGACUUCUUUUAAGGACACUCGUAGAAGACGAGUUUGAUAGAGUCGGGAUGUACGCACCAAGGC
rnacentral:rRNA from 1 species